AUUUAUGUGGUGAUUGUCCUGCUGAAAAAAAAACAGCUCGACCAGCUUAAAGCGGUUAAACUGGUUGACCAGCUUGUUUGAUCAGCUCAAGGCAGUUUUUGCCAGAAUAGCUGGAAUUGCAAUUUUCUCUGCAGGACUCGACCAUUGAAUCAGGCGUCCACUGAAGGGAUCUGCAUGCACAUUUGCAUUUGUAGAAGCCAAUAGGAACGGCCUCUCUCUGGCAGACAGAGACGACACAAGCAGGAAGAUGAUGCCAGCCCCCACGGCGCCCAUGACCACCCCGAAUGCGAUGAGCCACGGAGGG